GAGAGAGAGAGAGAGAAGAGAGCUUUUGCUUUUUUUCUAACUUUCAUCAUUAGCUCAUGUUAGCCAAUUUUACUAGAACUUGACCGAAUUGCUUAAUGGUGGUAUUUUGUAAGUUUGUAGGGUGAAUUGAAAAAAUUAUAAUCGUAGAUUAUUUUUAAAAAGACCUAUUAGCAAAAUAAAUCUAAACCUUUACGUUGGUUGCUUAUUAUAUCCGAAACUUUUAAUUUUAGAUAAUUUAAUCAUAACUUUCAAAAUUUUAAAAAUUUUAUCCAAUUAGUAAAAUCUCAAAUUGGGGAUUUUGAUUUUUGCCACAUGGGAGGCUAUAUGAUUUGACAAAUCACAAUUUCUAAUUUUCUUUAUUUGAUUUAUCUCUCUCUCU
rnacentral:misc_RNA from 1 species